UACGUGAGGGGCGAACGUUGUUCGGUGUCACUGGGCUUAAAGGGCGCGUAGGUGGUUGCGUAAGUAAGGUGUGAAAUCCCCCGGCUUACCCGGGGAAUUGCGCCUUAUACUGCGUGACUUGAGGAUCAGAGAGGAUGGGGGAACUCCAGGUGUAGCGGUGAAAUGCGCAGAUAUCUGGGGGAAGGCCGGCGGCGAAGGCGCCCAUCUGGCUGAGUCCUGACACUGAGGCGCGAAAGCGUGGGGAGCAAACAGG
rnacentral:rRNA from 1 species